rnacentral:misc_RNA from 1 species
UGAACAAUAAUUUUGCUUGUCUAGGAUGGACAAAGCAUUGGCGGAAAAGUAAGCAUUGCAGUCUCAAAUUAAAAGCAUAGAAGUGAGUAGCAUAUAUCCAUUCUCAACCACCGUGGUUAGAGAAUGAAUCUUGUCCUAAUUAAUUAAGUAGCAUCCUAAUUACAAUACAAACCAUAUAUAGGGCUUAUACAUAUAAAGAGUAUCUUGAUCCAUCUCCAGGUAAAAGUUCCACAGAGAGGGGGAGAGACAGAGACAGAGGGAGAGAGGAUAACCUAAGUCCUAACCAUGGUUGGUGAGUUAGAGGAGAAGAACUCAAGGGAAUCAAAAUAUCUCCCUAGAGUUGCAUGCAUGUGCUGUGAGCUCCACAUCCAUUUAUGGAGUUCUCGGCGUGAUGUUGAAACAGGGUAAAAUCUAGAUGCAAAAAAAAAAAACAAACACUAACCCUCCU